rnacentral:rRNA from 1 species
GUCUACAGCCAUGCCAACAUGAACACAUCCGGUCCCGUCUGAUCUCGGAAGCUAAGCAGGGUCGGGCCUGGUUAGUUACUUGGAUGGGAGACCACCUAGGAAGACCGGGUGCUAUAGGCA